GUUAAUUUCGGGGAGGAACUAACUGGGGCAGGAAUUUCUAAUACCUAGCACUCACUCAUGUCUUGAGCAGCCUCUGCCAGUGGAAGCUGGCCACUCUGCACAGUGUGCUCUCAGAGGUUUCCUGCACACUACUGCUGGGCCCUGGGGAAGGUUUUCUAGGGGAGAUGACAGGGAAGUGGGGAAGAGACAAACAGGAAGAAAAGCAUUCCAGACCCAAGAGGAUAAUUCACUUAACUGAGUGAGGUGGUAGUGUAUAGAUUUGGCCAUUCGUAGUUCAAAUAAAUUGUAAUGGUUGGGUUCCAUUUACUGCAGUAAACAGGAUACGGGGUGCUUUUUUCCCCUUAAUGUCAAGAUUUACCUGCAAUCAAAGUCAUUCUUUUACUCUCCUGGUCAAAUGACCCUGCCCUUAGGAGCACAUUAAUAGUUCCAGUGAUACAUAAAUCGGUGAUUUUUGACUUCUGAGAAAGGUUAACAGCUGGUAUAGUUGGGAAGAGUAUUUGUCAAGAACUCAAAGGUUUUAUGAGUUAUCAGAAGUAUAUAGAGGAGAGAAUAUCCAUGGAUAGUAUUUUGUUAGGUUUGUGUCUUGGUCUAAGAAUUGGAUGACUAGAGCUGUAGGGUUCUGUUUUCUUAGUGUGGAUUUCAGUAACUACAAGCCUACCUCUUUUCUUUGAUGCACAGCAGUGUGGUUCUUGAAAAAACUGUUUAAUCUACUUUCAUCAAAAUUGGUAUUUCCGAAUCUAUUUAGAGCAUUUGAUUUUUAUCUAACAGUUGUGAUUCAAUUAAAUAAGCACAAAUGCAGUAUUAGGGAAAGUAAAUAUGCAAUCUUAUUAAAAUUUAAUUUCAACCUAUAAGCUGUACACUUUAAAAAGAUUCUUUAGGAAGAUAAUUCCUUUUUUGUUAGAAGUUCAAAAAAUGUAUCAUAUAGUUUUACUCAUAGCACUAAUAUAAGCCAUUUCUUCAGUAAAAAAUGUUGAAAAUUAUAUUAUCUUCUUUGGAAAAUUCCUAAAUUUUUAAGAAGUUUUAACAUUAUUAUUUUUCAGAGCUUAUUUAAUCUAUUUUAAAAUACUACUAUGAUAGUUGUUUUUGAAAGUUGUAGAGCACUAGUACAA
rnacentral:lncRNA from 1 species